rnacentral:rRNA from 1 species
AUGUCGUCGACGUCGUCCAAGCCGAAGAGAGCAGGCGGCCUCCGGGGCCUCAGGCCGCAGCCGCUGAGCCUGUCAGCCCGGCCGUCCAAGAAGCCACGCGUUGGCGGCCACGCCGGACCAGCCGGGCCCGUGAUCGUGUACGAGAUCACGCCGAGGGUCGUCCACGCCGACCCACACGAGUUCAUGGCCGUCGUGCAGAGGCUCACGGGCAGGCAGCCGUCGUCGACGGAGGCGAUGUCCGGAUCCGGAGCUAGGGACGGCAUUGCCUCGACGUCUUUGGUUCUCACGCUUGGCCAGCAGCAGCGUGCGCCGUGUGGUGGUGACCAUCCGGCGCCUCCUGCUUCCCCGGCUGCCGCAUCAUCACCGCUGCUGUCCCCGAGCAGCUUCUUCUUCUCCCCUACCACUAUGCAGGCGAUACGAGAGCUCAUUAGCUGA